rnacentral:rRNA from 1 species
GACGAACGCUGGCGGCGUGCUUAACACAUGCAAGUCGAACGAAGUGGCGAACGGGUGAGUAACGCGUAAUCAACCUGCCCUUCAGAGGGGGACAACAGUUGGAAACGACUGCUAAUACCGCAUACUGAAGGAGGGGAUUGCGUCUGAUUCGCUAGUUGGAGGGGUAACGGCCCACCAAGGCGAUGCUCAGUAGCCGGGCUGGGAGGGAGGACGGCCAACUUGGGACCGAGACACGGCCCAGACUCCUACGGGAGGCAGCAGUGGGGAAACUUCCACAAUGGACGAAAGUCUGACGGAGCAACGCCGCGGGAGUGAUGAAGGGCUUCGGGUUGUAAAGCUCUGUUAAUCGGGACGCGGUACCGGAAGAGAAAGCCACGGCUAACUACGUGCCAGCAGCCGCGGUAAUAC